AUGCUCUCCAGGACCAUCCAUGCUGUUGUGAAUGUUCUGGAGACUGGCAAGUUCAAGAUCAACGUGCUGGCAGACUUGGUGCCUAUGAGGACCCUCUUCUGGUUUUCAGGUAGACUUAUUGCUGUAUUCCCACGUGGUGGAGAAAGAGGGGACUCUGGUCUUUCUCUUAUAAGAGCACUAUUCUCAUCAUAGGGGAUCCAACCUCAUUGACCUCAUCUAAACCUAAUUACCUCCCAAAGGCCGCACCUCCGAAUUCCAUCACGUUGGGGAUUUGUGCUUCAACAUUUGAAACUUAAUUAGGUCCCUGAAGCAGCCACCUCGGAAGUUUCCCUGUGUCACUCUGCUCUGUGUCAUAGCACAACUUGAAUCCAUGGUUCCUACUGCUCCUCCACGCACCUUUGUACUAAGAAUGCUGAGGGUUAAUUGCCUGAAGGGAGAGCUUCUCAUUGCCCAAAACAAGUCAAAUGAAUUCUGUUGGCAUUAAAGAUUUGCCUUUGAUGUUGUGCUUGGCCACUAAGUCUCUUCUCACUUUAAAAACAAGGUUCAUGAAAAAGAUGCUGUUUUCAUGAAGCUCUAGCCUUUCAAGUCAACUUCAGUGCUCACCCUGUUCUUUUCUUCUCUGCAAAGCCACGUGUUUUUUUUUUUAAAUUUAGCAUAGAAUGGGACAGAAGCAUGUCUCCAAAGAGCCAGCACCUAGUUUCCCGUCUGCAGAAAAUAGAUGCCACCUGACAGCAACUGCAGCGACUAUUGGCCAAGAUGUGAGAUGGUUAUUUCCUCGCGAUGAAGCAACUCCAGUUGAAGGAGUUGUUAUGGUGCAGAGAAUUUACAAGAAUUUCUCAUGAACUUGCUCUAGCCACACAGCUAUUCAAAAAGGGAAUAUCCACCAACCACGCUGCCUGGAAUCUACUGGAGAGGAAACUUUAUUUAAUGUAAUGUUGACUUAGGUGGAAUCAGACAGAGCUGGAAUUUGUAUUAGUCAAAUUUAUUGCAAUAAAUCUACCCUCACUUCAUUUCUUUGGAGUAGUUGAACCUGGACCUUAGAGCAAAGAGGACAAAGGCCAUCACAUAGCUAUGCGCCCAUGAUUGAGGCCACUUAAUCCAUUCUGACGCGUGUUCUGUAGAAUAUUCAUUAGGAGUUGUCCAGGCAGCCAUAGGCCAACAGUUAGCCAGACAGUAUUUUUAUUGCUGAAGCACCCCAGGGUUCUGAAUUGAAGUGUAGGAAAUGUUAUUUGUAGUUGGAAUUCCAAGUACUCUCCCAGGAGUGUUGAUUUUUUUAUAAUCUUUAUUUCUGCACCCAAACACUGGAGGUCACUAUUUAUUCAUAAAUGCCCCUGGAUUUGACUGCAAACUUAUGUCUAUGUACAAAAGGUCAUAUCUAAAAGGGCCUGGAAUUGAUCGUGGGAUUUUUUCCUUUAAUUAUGUAACAGAGAUCAGCUUAUAUAAACAUAAAAUAUAAAUAUAAAUUAUCAUGAUCCCCAUGGGAUUGUAACCUAGGAAUAAAGCAGAUAGUAUUAAAUCUAAAAUAUAAACUAA